rnacentral:rRNA from 1 species
GACAGAGGGGGCAAGCGUUGCUCGGAAUCACUGGGCGUAAAGGGCGCGUAGGCGGGAUGGCAAGUCAGUCGUGAAAUCCCUCGGCUCAACUGAGGAUCGUCGAUCGAUACUGCCGUUCUUGAGGAUUGCAGAGGAGACUGGAAUUCCCGGUGUAGCGGUGAAAUGUGUAGAGAUCGGGAGGAACACCGGUGGCGAAGGCGGGUCUCUGGGCAAUUCCUGACGCUGAGGCGCGAAAGCGUGGGGAGCAAACGGG